AGACGUCUACAUUAGACUACCCCGUAGUCCCAGCCGUAAACUAUGCUCGCUAGGUGUCAGGCAUGGCGCGACCGUGUCUGGUGCCGCAGGGAAGCCGUGAAGCGAGCCACCUGGGAAGUACGGCCGCAAGGCUGAAACUUAAAGGAAUUGGCGGGGGAGCACAACAACGGGUGGAGCCUGCGGUUUAAUUGGACUCAACGCCGGACAACUCACCGGGGACGACAGCAAUAUGUAGGCCAGGCUGAAGACCUUGCCUGAAUCGCUG
rnacentral:rRNA from 1 species